UACGAAGGGUGCAAGCGUUACUCGGAAUUACUGGGCGUAAAGCGUGCGUAGGUGGUUCGUUAAGUCCGAUGUGAAAGCCCUGGGCUCAACCUGGGAAUGGCAUUGGAUACUGGCGGGCUAGAGUGCGGUAGAGGAUGGCGGAAUUCCCGGUGUAGCAGUGAAAUGCGUAGAGAUCGGGAGGAACAUCCGUGGCGAAGGCGGCCAUCUGGACCAGCACUGACACUGAGGCACGAAAGCGUGGGGAGCAAACAGG
rnacentral:rRNA from 1 species